rnacentral:rRNA from 1 species
AAGGUCAUAGCUUUCAUCACAAUACUUGUGUGUUGGGUUAUCUGGAAUGAGAGAAACGCUAGAGAUUUUAGGAAGAAAUCAAUGCCGCCCUGCUGUCUACUCAAGCUUAUUCAGGGCGAGGCCAAACUUUGGGUCAUCGAGGGGGCUAGGCACUUGAGCAUCAUCAUGCCGAGAGAGCAAUCCACUUCUUUCCUGACGGGCUAUGUUGUGAGACAUCUCCAACGCCAACCCUCAAACCGCCCGCAACAGUUUGGACCAUGCGGUCCAGAUGUGUUUUGCCAUCUAACACGAUCCUGCAUCGAUGCGCAGGCCGCUCCGAACGUGCUUUUGACACACUGGAGGGGGGAGGGGGGUUUGCGGGCGUCCGGACCGCUGCCACGCCCGCUCCGGACGUGCUUUUUCCCGCAAACUAGAGACACACUAGAGGAGGGGGAGGGCUUUGCGGGUGUCCGGACCGCUACCACGCUCGCUCCUGACUAA